rnacentral:rRNA from 1 species
UUCCCCUAGUAACGGCGAGUGAAGCGGGAAGAGCUCAAAUUUAAAAUCUGGCGGUCAUCGGCCGUCCGAGUUGUAACCUAGAGAAGCGUUUUCUGCGGCGGACCAUGUACAAGUCUCUUGGAACAGAGCGUCAUAGAGGGUGAGAAUCCCGUCCUUGACAUGGACCCCCGUCGCUCUGCGAUGCGCUCUCGAAGAGUCGAGUUGUUUGGGAAUGCAGCUCAAAAUGGGUGGUAAAUUCCAUCUAAAGCUAAAUAUUGGCGAGAGACCGAUAGCGAACAAGUACCGUGAGGGAAAGAUGAAAAGCACUUUGGAAAGAGAGUCAAACAGUACGUGAAAUUGUUAAAAGGGAAACGAUCAAAGUCAGUCGCGUCUGCCGGGACUCAGCCUUGCCUUCGCGCACGGUGCAUUUCUCGGUUUGACGGGCCAGCGUCGAUUUCGACCGGCGGAAAAGGGUCGGAGGAAUGUGGCUCCUCACGGAGUGUUAUAGCCUUCGGUCGUAAACGUCGGUCGGGAUCGAGCUCACUCGCACGGCACGCCUCUGGUGGUGCCCGCGCUGGCGUAAUGGCUUUGACCGACCCGUCUUGAAACACGGACCAAGGAGUCUAACAUGUCUGCGAGUGUUUGGGUGGCAAACCCGAGCGCGUAAUGAAAGUGAUGGUUGGGAACCCUUCGCGGGGGGCACCGACGCCCGUGGCCGACCUUCUGCGACGCGCACGAGGCAGAGCAUGCAUGUUGGGACCCGAAAGAUGGUGAACUAUGCCUGAAUAGGGUGAAGCCAGAGGAAACUCUGGUGGAGGCUCGUAGCGAUUCUGACGUGCAAAUCGAUCGUCAAAUUUGGGUAUAGGGGCGAAAGACUAAUCGAACCAU